rnacentral:rRNA from 1 species
UACAGAGGGGGCAAGCGUUGUUCGGAAUUACUGGGCGUAAAGGGCGCGUAGGCGGCCUGCUAAGUCGAACGUGAAAUCCCUGGGCUCAACCCAGGAACUGCGUCCGAUACUGGUUGGCUUGAAUCCGGGAGAGGGAUGUGGAAUUCCAGGUGUAGCGGUGAAAUGCGUAGAUAUCGGGAGGAACACCAGUGGCGAAGGCGACUACCUGGCCUGUUCUUGACGCUGAGGCGCGAAAGCUAGGGGAGCAAACGGGG